rnacentral:rRNA from 1 species
AGGGAAACAGCCCAGACCACCAGCUAAGGUCCCAAAAUAUAUGUUAAGUGGAAAAGGAUGUGGCGUUGCCCAGACAACUAGGAUGUUGGCUUAGAAGCAGCCAUCAUUUAAAGAGUGCGUAAUAGCUCACUAGUCGAGUGACACUGCGCCGAAAAUGUACCGGGGCUAAACAUAUUACCGAAGCUGUGGAUUGUCCUUUGGACAAUGGUAGGAGAGCGUUCUAAGGGCGUCGAAGCAUGAUCGCAAGGACAUGUGGAGCGCUUAGAAGUGAGAAUGCCGGUGUGAGUAGCGAAAGACGGGUGAGAAUCCCGUCCACCGAUUGACUAAGGUUUCCAGAGGAAGGCUCGUCCGCUCUGGGUUAGUCGGGUCCUAAGCUGAGGCCGACAGGCGUAGGCGAUGGAUAACAGGUUGAUAUUCCUGUACCACCUAGUAUCGUUUUAAUCGAUGGGGGGACGCAGUAGGAUAGGCGAAGCGUGCUGUUGGAGUGCACGUCCAAGCAGUAAGGCUGAGUGUUAGGCAAAUCCGGCACUCAUAAGGCUGAGCUGUGAUGGGGAGAGGAAAUUGUUUCCUCGAGUCGUUGAUUUCACACUGCCGAGAAAAGCCUCUAGAUAGAUAACAGGUGCCCGUACCGCAAACCGACACAGGUAGUCAAGAUGAGAAUUCUAAGGUGAGCGAGCGAACUCUCGUUAAGGAACUCGGCAAAAUGACCCCGUAACUUCGGGAGAAGGGGUGCUCUUUAGGGUUCACGCCCAGAAGAGCCGCAGUGAAUAGGCCCAAGCGACUGUUUAUCAAAAACACAGGUCUCUGCUAAACCGUAAGGUGAUGUAUAGGGGCUGACGCCUGCCCGGUGCUGGAAGGUUAAGAGGAGUGGUUAGCUUCUGCGAAGCUACGAAUCGAAGCCCCAGUAAACGGCGGCCGUAACUAUAACGGUCCUAAGGUAGCGAAAUUCCUUGUCGGGUAAGUUCCGACCCGCACGAAAGGCGUAACGAUUUGGGCACUGUCUCAACGAGAGACUCGGUGAAAUCAUAGUACCUGUGAAGAUGCAGGUUACCCGCGACAGGACGGAAAGACCCCGUGGAGCUUUACUGUAGCCUGAUAUUGAAAUUCGGCACAGCUUGUACAGGAUAGGUAGGAGCCUUUGAAACGUGAGCGCUAGCUUACGUGGAGGCGUUGGUGGGAUACUACCCUAGCUGUGUUGGCUUUCUAACCCGCACCACUUAUCGUGGUGGGAGACAGUGUCAGGCGGGCAGUUUGACUGGGGCGGUCGCCUCCUAAAAGGUAACGGAGGCGCUCAAAGGUUCCCUCAGAAUGGUUGGAAAUCAUUCAUAGAGUGUAAAGGCAUAAGGGAGCUUGACUGCGAGACCUACAAGUCGAGCAGGGUCGAAAGACGGACUUAGUGAUCCGGUGGUUCCGCAUGGAAGGGCCAUCGCUCAACGGAUAAAAGCUACCCCGGGGAUAACAGGCUUAUCUCCCCCAAGAGUUCACAUCGACGGGGAGGUUUGGCACCUCGAUGUCGGCUCAUCGCAUCCUGGGGCUGUAGUCGGUCCCAAGGGUUGGGCUGUUCGCCCAUUAAAGCGGUACGCGAGCUGGGUUCAGAACGUCGUGAGACAGUUCGGUCCCUAUCCGUCGUGGGCGUAGGAAAUUUGAGAGGAGCUGUCCUUAGUACGAGAGGACCGGGAUGGACAUACCUCUGGUGUACCAGUUGUCGUGCCAACGGCAUAGCUGGGUAGCUAUGUAUGGACGGGAUAAGUGCUGAAAGCAUCUAAGCAUGAAGCCCCCCUCAAGAUGAGAUUUCCCAACUUCGGUUAUAAGAUCYCUCGAAGAUGACGAGGUUAAUAGGUUCGAGGUGGAAGCGUGGUGACACGUGGAGCUGACGAAUACUAAUCGAUCGAAGACUUAAUCAA